UGGGCGAAAGCCUGAUCCAGCCAUGCCGCGUGAGUGAAGAAGGCCUUAGGGUUGUAAAGCUCUUUCAGUUGUGACGAUGAUGACGGUAGCGACAGAAGAAGCCCCGGCUAACUCCGUGCCAGCAGCCGCGGUAAUACGGAGGGGGCAAGCGUUGUUCGGAUUUACUGGGCGUAAAGGGCGCGUAGGCGGGGUAUCAAGUUAGGGGUGAAAGCCCGGGGCUCAACCUCGGAACUGCCUUUAAAACUGAUACUCUAGAGUCCGGAAGAGGGUCGCGGAAUUCCCAGUGUAGAGGUGAAAUUCGUAGAUAUUGGGAAGAACACCGGUGGCGAAGGCGGCGACCUGGUCCGGUACUGACGCUGAGGCGCGAAAGCGUGGGGAGCAAACAGGAUUAGAUACCCUGGUAGUCCACGCCGUAAACGAUGUGUGCUAGCCGUCGGGCUCCUUGGGAGUUCGGUGGCGCAGCUAACGCGUUAAGCACACCGCCUGGGGAGUACGGCCGCAAGGUUAAAACUCAAAGGAAUUGACGGA
rnacentral:rRNA from 1 species